rnacentral:sRNA from 1 species
GCCAGGCAUGGUGCCGCAUGCCUGUAAUCCUAGCAGUCUAGGAGGCUGAGGCAGGAGGAUCCCAAGUUCAAAGCCAGCCUCCGCAAUUUAGUGAGAACCUGUCUCAA